GCUGGUGUGGCUCAGUGGAUAGAGCGUCAGCCUGUGGGUUGAAGGGUCCCGGGUUCGAUUCCCAGUCAAGGGCA
rnacentral:tRNA from 1 species